ACUAGAUUUAAAGAGAGUGUUGGUGGCAAGGUGACAUCAAGUAGUUAGUUAUAUAGAUGGCUAAAUGUUGAACAUGGAUUUAAUCUUCACCACAACCGAAACAGAAUACCCAUCUGGAACCCAGCCACCAUGCUGUAGAAGCCAGGAAGAGAAGGAACAAAUUGUUUCCUACACUCAUCAACAGCCCCAGCUAAGCCUCAGCCAGCAGCCAGCGACUAACUGCCAGCCUUGUGAGUGAGUCACCUUGGCUGUUCCAGCACAUUUAACACACACAGAACAGAUGAACUGCCCAGCUGAGCCCAGGCGACCUCAGACCUGUGAUGGAUAACAAAUGGUGGCGGUCAUGGCUAUUUUAAAGCACUGAGUUUUGGGAUAGUUUAUUUCACAAGCAAUUGUGCAACAAAUAGAUAACUGUGUGUUUACCCAGGAAGAUGCCCUCUUGGACAGGUAAGGUGUGAACUUGGCCAUCUGAUGUGAUGGCCCAAAGACAGCUCUCCACUGGCGGAUUCUUCAUCUGCAUCUCAGGGAGGAUUUCACUGAGGAGGGUGAGAUAUGGAAGGGACAUCUGUGGCUACCAUUGGACUACAGUAAAUCCACUCAUUUCCACAGAGUUCCUAGAACACUUUUAUUCGUGAACACACAAUUACCUAGGUCUCCCUGUUCCUAAUGAGGCACUGGACUAAAGACAGGGGACAGAUCUGCCUAGCCCAGAAUCCAGGAGAAAACAAUCAUGCUGUUAGUGCCCAAUGAGCUCAAAGAGGCUGGAAAAACAGCAGGAUCUGUUUUUUUUUAAAAACGUUUUUGUUGUUGAAUUGAGAUGUCAUGAAAGCUUCCCUCUCUUUGGCAAGUUACUACACUUUUUAUUCAUUAGGUUAUUGUGAAAGUUAAAUGUGAAAAUGUAUGCAAAAUUAUUAACACAAUACCUCUACAAUCUAGAUACUGGAUAAAAAAACAGCCUUUCCAAGUGUAUAGCAUUUUCUGUUUCUACAUUAAAAUGCUUUGUGACUCCGUAA